rnacentral:sRNA from 1 species
UUUUAGCCCGGAUCGAAGCGGCAUCCUUUUUUGGUUUGCAAAAACAAAAAAGAUACAGCGAAGAGCCGGAAAUAGC